UCGGGAAUUUUGGGCAAUGGGCGAAAGCCUGACCCAGCAACGCCGCGUGAAGGAUGAAGUAUUUCGGUAUGUAAACUUCGAAAGAAUAGGAAGAAUAAAUGACGGUACUAUUUAUAAGGUCCGGCUAACUACGUGCCAGCAGCCGCGGUAAUACGUAGGGACCAAGCGUUGUUCGGAUUUACUGGGCGUAAAGGGCGCGUAGGCGGCAAUUCAAGUCAUCUGUGAAAUCUCCGGGCUUAACUCGGAACGGUCAGAUGAUACUGCUUUGCUAGAGUGCAGAAGGGGCAAUCGGAAUUCUUGGUGUAGCGGUGAAAUGCGUAGAUAUCAAGAGGAACACCUGAGGUGAAGACGGGUUGC
rnacentral:rRNA from 1 species